AAGUCCCGCAACGAGCGCAACCCUCGUUUUUAGUUGCCAGCAUUAAGUUGGGCACUCUAGAGAGACUGCCGGUGACAAACCGGAGGAAGGUGGGGAUGACGUCAAGUCCUCAUGGCCCUUAUGGGUAGGGCUUCACACGUCAUACAAUGGUCGGUACAGAGGGCUGCCAACCCGCGAGGGGGAGCUAAUCCCAGAAAACCGAUCGUAGUCCGGAUUGCAGUCUGCAACUCGACUGCAUGAAGUCGGAAUCGCUAGUAAUCGCGGAUCAGCAUGUCGCGGUGAAUACGUUCCCGGGUCUU
rnacentral:rRNA from 18 species